rnacentral:snRNA from 10 species
AAAAGGAUCAGGCAGCCAGUGGGUCCAGGGCAAGGCUUUGCCAUUGCACAUCGGCUUAACUGACCCUUGCAAUUACCCCAAAUGGGGGAAACUCGGCCGAAUAAUUUCUGGAAAGGGGAACUGCGUUCCCCCUAUCCCCGU